CCUCUUUUCGUAAAGCCGCAGAUAUUGAAAUGGGUUCUGUAAGUCAUUGGCUUUUUGCGUUUGUGGAAAAAAAAGUCUGUGGCUCUUUUCGUUGUGGAAAAUGAUAUAGAGAACACCUGUAGUGGUCCCCAAUGAAAUUGUACUACGGUUUCAUUCAGCUUAGCCUCUUUCCUUAUCUAUAGCCUCGGGUACUUUCAAUUUGGAAGGAAGGAGAGGAAGAAUGAGGGGGAGAAGGAAUGUGAAUGCGAUGAGAUUUUCGGUGGUGGUGCUCGGAUUGGCAUUUGGGUACCUGAUUCUGCAGCUUGGUUUCAAGCCGUAUAUCUUGAAAGAGUCCAAAUUGCUACUGGCCAAUCUGAGCUCUCUUCUUCAUCAUAGCUACAACAAGAACAAGAACAACCCAACUCAAGCUCAACCCGCCAUUUCUAAAUGGGCCAGUGAGGAAAAUGGAUAGAUAAUGAAGCUUCAGCUAUAUAGUCCCUGAUGAUGAUUGUAGACUCAUUUGUACUUGUCUCAAAUUCUUUUCUGGAUAGUUUUGUAUGAGUUUUCCUUUAUUGAGCAUUCUAGGGGAGGCGAAUUCAAAUCUGUUGCAUUCAAGUAGAAUUCUUAAGAUAUGCAUGAUGAUUUAGAAGUGGAAUUCCAGUUGUAGACAAUCCUUGAUGGAUGACAGACUUGUUGGUGUUGCUUUGCCUUUGGUCAAGUAUAGUGAGGGCAUGGCCGCUGCAUGUGAUAUAAACUUUACAGCUGACAUAGAUGAAUUGAAGGCAUGGCAAAACAUGGCAUCU